rnacentral:rRNA from 1 species
GAGAUGUUGGGUUAAGUCCCGCAACGAGCGCAACCCUCAUCCUUAGUUGCCAUCACGUUUGGGUGGGCACUCUAGGGAAACUGCCGGUGCUAAGCCGGAGGAAGGCGGGGAUGACGUCAAGUCCUCAUGGCCCUUACGCGUAGGGCUACACACGUGCUACAAUGGCAGUGACAAUGGGAUAAUCCCCAAAAGCUGUCUCAGUUCGGAUUGUCGGCUGCAACUCGCCGGCAUGAAGUUGGAAUCGCUAGUAAUCGUGGAUCAGCAUGCCACGGUGAAUACGUUCCCGGGCCUUGUACACACCGCCCGUCACACCAUGGGAGUGGGAUGCAAAAGAAGUAGUUAGUUUAACCUUCGGGAGAACGAUUACCACUUUGUGUUUCAUGACUGGGGUGAAGUCGUAACAAGGUAACCCUAGGGGAACCUGGGGUUGGAUCACCUCCUU